rnacentral:lncRNA from 1 species
CUUAUCGUCUAUCUCCUCCUUCUCUUGCUCCUCUCCAGCAGCUGAUGGAUGAGAGCUGGAUGUCCCAGCAUCCUAUAAUAAAAAAAUAAAAUAAUAUUAGUAAGCUUCAAUACGGAGGUAUAUUUUUUGAUACACUCCUUCAAUUUUCGAACAGAUUAUUUCUAUACGUUCUAUUCGAUGAUACAGAGCUAUAGAUAGCUCCGACCUAUCAAUUGGAUGAUUAGAUUAAAUUUUUAACCCCUAAAUCUCUUUUCUGGACUCAAACUUAAAUAUAUGAAGCUU